CGGAAUGUAGCUUAUUGGUAGAGUGUUUGCCUAGCACAAACAAAACCCUCGGUUCAAUCCCCAGUAUUGUAA
rnacentral:tRNA from 1 species